rnacentral:rRNA from 1 species
UGCCAGCCGCCGCGGUAAUACGGAGGGUGCAAGCGUUGUUCGGAAUUACUGGGCGUAAAGCGCGCGUAGGCGGCUAUUUAAGUCAGAUGUGAAAGUCCACGGCUCAACCGUGGAAGUGCAUUUGAAACUGGAUGGCUUGAGUACUGGAGGGGGAAGUGGAAUUUCAGGUGUAGUGGUGAAAUGCGUAGAUAUCUGAAGGAACACCAGUGGCGAAGGCGACUUUCUGGACAGAUACUGACACUGAGGUGCGAAAGCGUGGGGAGCAAACAGGAUUAGAUA